UUUCUCGUGGUGUCUUGUGGGAGUGGCGGUGCGAUCCCUCUCAGACUUGUGAGUCCCUGCUGGAGUCAGAAGUUUUAGGCGAAUCCCAGGCGCGCCAAGGAAAGUGCUACAAAAGCCAUCCAUCUUGCAAGCGUUGGUGCCGAGGCGCAACGCUGAGAACGCAAAUACUAAAGGGCGCUGUUCUUUCCUCGUGGAGCUCACAGUCCGCUGGGGAGACCGUGAGAUGACAGCAGAGAAACUAGCGCGAUCAGUAGUACUCAGCGCAAGGACAGCGAGCAGAGAAGGCAAACCUAGUGCUUGCUAAGGAAGACUUCACAGAGGAGGUAGUGUCAGGGCCGAGACUAGGAGAAGGAUUCAGACAGCCCUGAUUGCUAUUCCAAUGUCAUCACAAACCCCCAGGAUGCUUGGAAGGCCAAGGAAUCAAGGUCAGCUGUAUCCACAGCCCUAGUCUCAAGCCUUCAUCCUCUUACCCGAUAGCAGGCGAUUCCCAGUCCUAGCCAGAUAGAUGAGCCCCAGUCUCAGGAAGAUGAAGUGCAUCUCAGAAGCAUCCACUACAAAGCUAAUGGUUCGUUCAUAGCAUGCCUUGGCCUCAGAAUGAUUUCCACUCAGAAAAUAGAGAUGGCCCUUCAGGCCCCAGACAUUGGGGUUCUGGGAAAGUGAAAAGCAAGUAGUAUAUGGGAUAAGGUAGUAUUUAAAAGUACCUUGAUGAUCUUUGUUUAACAUUUAAAUUUAGAUAGAUUGUCCAUUUCCUUUCUCUUUUCUUUUUCAGAUCAACCGUUUUCUUUUUCUAAGAGCACUCAGAAACAUAACCAUUUAAUUGUACAAGGAGACAUUUUUCUAGCUCUGCCCUCAGAUUUCUUUCUUGCAUUCUUCAAAGCCAUUUUGGGUGUGGAGUAAAUAUUAAGAAAAACAUUCAAGCAUAACCCCAAUACUGUUCACAUGAGAAAAUAUAAGAAAUCUAGAAAAAUUGAAAUAAACACUAUCAGCUAAAGAUAUCCUUUUCUCUGCUCUUUGCAAAACUCAUGAUUACUUUAUUAUUAUUAUUUUUUGAGAUGGAGUCUUGCACUGUCGCCCAGGCUGGAGAGUGCAAUGGCUCAAUCUCCGCUCACUGCAACCUCCGCCUCCCAGGUUCAGGCGAGUCUCCUGCCUCACCCUCCUGAGUAGCUGGGAUUACAGGCACCUGCCACCACGCCCAUCUAAUUUUUUGUAUUUUUAGUAGAGAUGGGGUUUCACUAUGUUGGCCAGGCUGGUCUUGAACUCCUGACCUCGUGAUCUGCCUGCCUCGGCCUCCCAAAGUGCUGCGAUUACAGUUGUGAGCCACCGCGCCCAGCCAACUCAUGAUUACUUAAGAAAAGCAAAUGGAAGGGUAUAGAGAGAUGAGUUUACUGACAGCUGAUGACCACCCUUCUGUUCACCAGAAAUCUACGUGUGAUAUGGCAUCACCACCUUUAAAUAAAGCCCCUUCUCCAGACUCAAGAGGCUUUAGCAAAAGUCAUUACCAGGUAGUCCAUCUGGGCUGCUUGUUGAAGGUAUUCCUCUGCCUUGGCAAAGUUCUUCUUAAGAAUGUGUGUUUGGGCCAGCACCAAGUAAUAUUCACAGCUGGGGCCUCCUUGAGGGCAUAACAGCUCAUGUGCAAGCACUCUGUGCACAUACUGCAAGGAUAAUCAGAUUAUAAGCAACAUAUAAAUGGCUGCAUUGCGUCUUUUUCGGUUGAAGGAUUCUGUCUCUGAUAAUAAAUAAUACGAAAUGUAUUACAGAAUGAAAUAAUUAUCCUCAACUUCAAAAGGUAAAGGGUGAAUUACAAACAUUCUGCACUUCAUAGUUCCAUUACCAGCUAUUCACCUAGUCACCAAAUGAAGACAUUACCAAGUGAAUAACUUGCAAUAUUGUACAAUUCUGGUCUUGCUGGUCAUCAUACUAGGUGAGUGUUAGACUGCAUGUAUUAUGCAGCAGACAAAGGCACAUCAUCAACCACCCCAUUUACAAAGGAGGUAACAUUUUCAGGCAGCUGACAUUGUAAGGAAACUUAAGUGAGGUAAAACUGCCUUUCUAACAAUCUAGACUUGAAAUCUUAGAAACAUAAAUGUCUGUUUUGGAUCCACCUCCAAACAUUGGUUAUGUUUACCAGUUUUGUAGUUUGGGUCAAUUUUUGUAUUUUGUUUUUUUUUUUUUCUUUUUUUAGAGACAGGGUCUUACUCUGUCACCCAGGGCUGCUUACUGCAGCCUUCUGGCCUCAAGCAAUCCUCCUGCCUUGGCUUCCCAAAAGUGCUGGAAUUAUAGGGGUGAGCCCCAUGCCUGGCCAAAUCUUUGCUUUUUACACUUUAUAAGACCUACAAAAUUAACAAAGUUAGAUAUACUUCUUAAGUCGAGGGUAAAUCCUUCUUUUCAUCUCCCACUGUUCCCAUCUCAGCCUAUAAUGUAGAAAAUUCUACAUUAUACUUACACCUUUUUAGGAGAAUACUAGAGGGAACAGCUGCAGCUAUUUUUUCCACCUGCCUUCUGGGUCUCUGACCUGGGGGAGCUAAUGACUUAUUUAGCUGUGGAAGAAGAGAGUCUGUUUCUAUUUUGCGGAGGGUUAAUGUGUUAAAGCCUCCUGCUUAAUGUGGCUCAAUCCCACCCAGUUAAUAAUUCUUGCCCUUUCUUGAGCUUGCCUGCCCUUGAGUAGGGCAUGCACUUGGCAGGAUCAAAACCAAACACUCCUGGCUCCUGAGUCUUGAUCUCUCCUACUGCUUGCUCAUGAAUAUGCUUCUUUCUUCCCAUGUAAUAGGCAGACUUCCUAGAAUGCUCUUCUUCUCUGAGAGGAGGCUUCAAUUCUUCAGCUGCUCUACCUGUGACUGCAUGGGUAAGUCAAAUGUGGGGCUAGUUAUGUUGUCCAGCCAAGUUUUACCAAUAAAAAUAAGCUAAUAUUUUUAUUCCCCCACAUAGUACUGUGUAUGUUUCUAGUUGGAUCUAACCUAGAAGGGAAGAAGGGAAUGAUUUGGCUCCUGUGAACCCCCAACACUCACAAAAUGAAUUCCCAUAAUAAAGUGAUAUCAGGC
rnacentral:lncRNA from 1 species